AAUAAGGACAGUUGUAGCAACCAGAAAGAUCAACACAAUGGAAAAAGCAUAACAAAAGAGGCGGAAGGACUGGCAGGAUAGAAAGGUGCCACAAAGAAAGGGAAGUAGAUCACUCACCCAUAUCAGAAGACUCUAGGUUCACAUGGAAAAGCUUCCACUACGGAGAGAUCCCCAGAAGGGGAUCCUUCCUUAGUGGCAGUCACCCCUUAAAUGAGGCCUAAGAGGGGUGAAACCCGACUCCACCCCUUUUGGUCUCACAGUGAAUUGCCUUCAUCUGUGCUCCCAGGGCUGACUGGGUCUGUCCUCCAGGUGGUUCAGGCCAUGGCUCAGCAGUUCCCAUACAAUAGUUAACUCCUUUCUUGAUAUGUGUCUCUGGAAAAGACAUGCUAACAUCGCAUCCCAAGACUGCAAAUUGUGAUGAAAUUAGAAAUAACACUAGGCAGUUGUUAAGAGACCAUCCUUGAAUCCUAAAGGCUUUGUUAUAUGCCUUUCACUCAUUGUAUAGAUCCUUCUGUUGUGGAUGAGGACCUUCCUGAAUUUCAUCAUGUGAACUACUGUGACCACAGCAGAGUUUCUGAAAGGAGAGGAGACAGCCACUAUGCUCUCACCAACAGCUCAGAAAUGGCAGCAUUGUAGAAAAUCCAUACGCACAGUCUCCUAGUCAUUGCACAAAUCAAAAGAGUCGUUGGCUAUUCUGGCUUUAUUUCUUAGUUUGGGGGCUUGCUUAUUUUUGGAUGUAUGAUUUUGAAGGUCUCCAAUUGUACGAAGAAUGGGAAGGAAAACUAAUCUUGCAGAGAUCUAGAUGUGGAAAUCCUCCACUUCCACUCCCUUGUCCUUCCUAACACUGUGUUUUUUAGUAGGAAUGCAAAGAACACCAGCCUCCCAGCCUCCAUGAGACAUAGGAGAAGGAAUUUCACCUUUAGAUCUGCUUAUUUCUUCUCCUGAAGAAGUAAAAUUUUGCCUAUAGUUAGGGGGACUUUGGAAGAUUAAGGUAAACAAGAGACUGAGUGAACAGAAUAAAAUAAUUGUUUGGUGCCUGAAAGUAUACUCU
rnacentral:lncRNA from 1 species